UACGUAGGAUCUAAGCGUUGUCCGGAUUUACUGGGUGUAAAGGGUGCGCAGGCGGGCUGGUAAGUCAGGAGUGAAAUCUCGGCGCUUAACGCCGAAACUGCUUUUGAUACUGCCAGUCUUGAAUCAGCGAGAGACGUGUGGAAUUCCGAGUGUAGCAGUGAAAUGUGUAGAUAUUCGGAAGAACACCAGUGGCGAAGGCAGCACGUUGGCGCUCGAUUGACGCUCAGGCACGAAAGCAUGGGGAUCAAACAGG
rnacentral:rRNA from 1 species